rnacentral:rRNA from 1 species
UACGGAGGGUGCAAGCGUUAUCCGGAUUUACUGGGUUUAAAGGGUGCGUAGGUGGGUCUGUAAGUCAGUGGUGAAAUCUUCAAGCUUAACUUGGAAACUGCCAUUGAUACUAUAGGUCUUGAAUUAUCUGGAGGUGAGCGGAAUAUGUCAUGUAGCGGUGAAAUGCUUAGAUAUGACAUAGAACACCAAUUGCGAAGGCAGCUCACUACGGAUGUAUUGACACUGAGGCACGAAAGCGUGGGGAUCAAACAGGA